GCUGCUAUUAGCAACUCCGGGGCGGUGCACUGUGUGCUUUUACGGGCCAAUAAUAGAUGUCUGGGGUGAUUGGAGGCAAUCAGCUUUCAGCCUGGAAUCUUACAAAGCCCCAGAUGUGUAAAAUAACAGGCCACUGAAGUCUUCCCUACUCAGACUUAUAAAUACCCCAUGCUCUAGGAAAGCAGGCCAGCUGCUAUCUUAAUGGGGAACAGGCAAAACACCUGUGGCCAUGGCUUGUAUGGCCUGGGACACUGCAACCUGGAUCAGAAGGGCUCUCCUGGGCUUAAUUGAGCCAAACUGAGUGGUAGUGGGUGGUAUGAAAAAGGUAAUCUGCUCCCUGCCUGCCUGCCGGGUGAUAUGACAGCAAAGGGAAGAUCACAGCGUGCUAGAAUGUAAUACCGUGAUCAAUGCAGACUGCCUCUUCUGUCUGAUGCCAGACAGCUUUGAUGAGCACUAUAGAGAGGUUUGCUUUCUCUCAAAAAUCACUUGUUAGUCUGACCUAUUCCGAUGUCCUGUUUUGUCCGCUCAUGAUGCUCUUCUUUUGGAUUAGUCUCUAGGCUACAUAGAAAGGCACUGGGAUAAUGCCUCCCAGGGCUGCUCUGGCACUGCUUCAGCCUGGGCCAUGCCUGAGCAGAGAAAAAGAUAAAGAUAGGUGUUGUGCUUGAAUGUGGCAGCCCAGAUGCUGAUGCUGAGUGCAGCUGGUUCAGUGGAGCUGUUUCUCGCCCUCCUUACCAUCACUGCUUGCAGUCUCCUGUGACCAGCUGUAAUGCUGCAAGGCAGACAGUCUCCUCACUACACCCUGGAGUGCCAUUCGUAGUCUCAGCCUCCACGACUGCUGCAGUGUGUUAUAGUCCUUCCAGCCAGGAAUUCGGCCUGCUACAACUCGGAGAAAAUCAUCAGCAGACAGCGUGGCUGCAGCUGGUGUGGUGGAAGGGGUCGGGUGGCAGCAGAGGAUCUGGCUGAGCGCUGAGCUGCAGUUGCAGCUUGUGGUCUGCAGUGAGCUAUGGAGAUGUGAAGCAAUCGCAUUGCAGAAAGCAAGAGAGAUGCCAGCUCCACAAUCCAAGCAUUGACAAGGAAAAACUACAUCACUCACUGGGUUAGAUGAUUUUAUAGCAUCACAAGGCAAUCAGAGAGGUGGGUCUCUGGCAAGCAGUGCUUCUUAGGUAGGUUUGGUGCAUGCCACAUAUCUUCUGUUUGCAGUUUGUUUGCUUUUUCUUUGGCUUGCCAAUAUAUCAGUGGCUUUCAGUAGUUCUGCAGGAGCAUUUGCACAGUUCUGCAGGAAAUCUGUAGGUAUUUACAUUUCCUUCAUAGCAAAACAAACCAGAGAUCUGUCUUGCUCUGAAGAAGAUGAGAGCGUUAUUUUCUUUCUCUCCAUAAAUUCUGACAAGAACAAGGAGGACAGAUCUGCAGUGCUAACACAGCAACAGUGAAACCUUCUGUAUUUUUCAUUACAACGCUUGUCAGAGGAACUGGAUUCAUGCAGUGCCACUUUCUAGUCAUUACAUUCUUUGUCACAAGAAUAAGUUUUUAAUCCGUCAUGUGCCCUGCUGGGGCAUGGUGGAGUGGCUGAGGACUCGUACUUGCUGUGGUCUGUAAUUUGCCUGGCCAUGGACCACCUCCAGGUGCUUCCCCGUGUGGAGAGAGGAGCCAGAAAGAGCUGUCGAGGGCAGCGUCCAACAUGUGGCAAUGGAGGUGAGGGAGGUUUUGAGCCUAAAUCGGAGCCAGGAAGACAUGAGCAGGGAAUAAGCUGUUCGUGCUCUCUUCCACGAAUGGCUCCCAGAAUGUUAUUUGAGAUACUAACGCCACAUGUGGCUCCUAAAUGUUGACAGCUGGAAGAGAACGGCCAGUGCCCGUUUCUCUGCUGGGCGUGCAUUUAGAAAGCCCAUGUUCACUUAUGAAUUUGGCUGCAGGUUCCUCUUCUCAUCCUGGUCAGGUGUCUUAGCCUUCCCAUCUGCUCUUCUUGUUCCCUACCUGCACAAACCAGAAAGGAAACCAAUGCAGUGCUGGGCUCAGUAAGGGGUGAUAUAGCUGGGGAAACUGGGCAAAACUUUUCUUGUUGCUCAUGUCACGGAGGAUAUGUUUUUAGUUACAUUAAAGGCUUUUGUGACAACAUGAUUUAUUUUAUGGUAUUUUUUAAUUUUGAGGAAAAUUGAUAAAGGCAUCCAAAACCGUACUAGGUUUGACGGCAUUACAAUAAACAAAAAAUAAGUUUGGGGGCAGUUGGAAGCCAGUUUUAAUUUCAAAGUCUUGUUUCACUGUAAGACAUCCCAGAACAGCCACAAAAUUACAGGCUCAGAACUGAAACCUAAUAUUUCAACUGACAUGACUUUUUUUUCUCUCUCUUUUAUUUUUUAUCCACUGCUAACCAAGGAGAGAAAAGAAGAAUUUCUUUCAAAAUAAAGCAUCUAUUUUCCUCGGCACUUCUUUUUACCAAUGAGCUGAAUGUUGCUUUUCCGUUUAGUGCUGUCACUGUAGUAAUAGUAGUGAUAGAGACAUCGUAUAAUAGGACAGGUAGAAGAAGACCAUGGAGAUAAUCAGCAUGCAGACACCAAAGGAAAAAAAAAAUAAUAAUGAGAAUUGGAGUUUUCUGGAGAGGGAGAAGCCGCUAUCCAAACUAGGUCAGCCUGUGUCCUCAGCUCCUGUGCAAGAGAUGAAUCACGCACUUGGACUCCAAAGCAAGCCAUCCCAUAGAAAAAUGUUUGUUUAACUCUGAAUUGCCAAAGGGCAUUUAACUGAGAUUCAGCCUUUGCCAGCUAGAAGGAAACAUGCCCUUCAAGCACGUGAUGCUUGCUGCUCCCCUCUCUGUGGGCUCAGCCCCACAUAAUGGCACGGAGCCCCUGGAAGCGUGGCAAGGGAAUGCAGGUGGUGAAGGUUUUCCAAUCUGACUCUGGCUGUGCAACACCUUCCCAGGGAGGAAGGGACAUGGCUUAUGGUUAUUCUAUAAGCAAGAAGGGGAGGUAAGGGCUGCCUGCUGAGGCCCAAACUGCAGGCAGAGAGGAACCUGAGGGGAGGAUGUAGGGGCAAGAUCCCAUCCUGCAGCACGGGAGUCUCGGUGCUUUUCCAUGAACAUAGCUGGUGAUGAAUAUUGCCUCUCUCUGUUCUGGGAAUAGGAAAGCCAACCACGCCAUCUGGACUAUUAUGACACUGUGCAUAGCUGUUUCCAAGCAAAUGCCGUUAAGCCAGACUACUUGCUCAGGCCUUCUCCCAGUAGUUUUGCUACCACCUGCUGUAGUUUUCUUUUAUCCCACUGCUGAAAGCACACUUGUAGCGUGAAUUGGCUGACAUGAAGAAGCAAUUCGGGUAUCUAAACACAUCUUUCAGUGUUUUCUAUAAGAACCUGUGGCAUUGGCUGGGGUAAAGGAAUAUGAUAAGGGACUUCCAUAAGAACUCCAGCCUCUGGAUUGGCACCGGGACGAUGGGAGGUCAAAGCUCCCUGAUAAGGGAUGUACGGGGCCUGAUGCAUUGGGCCCACGGUCACCUUCCCUUAUCACACAGAGGAACUCAUGGUCUAGAAAAUGGAUGUUCUUGAGAGUUUCUGGGAAAUCCAUGGAGAAGAGCUUGCUUCUCCUUUCUCUCCCAGGAUCAUUCUCAGCUCUUGGUGCCCUUUCUAAGGACAGCCCCACAAAGGGAGUAAAGCAGAAAUGCAGGAAAGAACAACCAGCAUCCUAAACAGUCAGCAUUGCAGGAAAGCUGGGACUCAGGAGAUUCUCCCAGUGUCUACAAUCCCAGCCUAACCCACUGUUUGUGAUUUACUGCCUAGAACAGUGGCUUUAUGCCCCUUUUCCCAGAAGUGUUACAUUUCUUUUAAAACAUUAACCACCAGAACCACACUGUUUCUUGCUGAUGUACAAAAUGUCCAAAUGCCAUUCAUGUGCUCUGCUCUAAUUCAUUUUAAUUUUAUUUCUCUGGGCUCAUUACAAGAGGGUGGCUCUCGAUUCUGCUAGUGCCACUUUCCUUUGAAUCAGCAACAGCCAUUGAUGAAAAUGAUCCAGAUAUAGCUGGUUUCUUCUUAGGACCUGAACACACAGGUGUGUAGCACAAGCACCACACUACUGCAAAAUGCCCUGCACUUUCUUUGUGCUGCUCAGUGACAAGGUGAUCUCCCCACUCCCAUGAACACAAUCUUAAUUGGCCCAGGUUAAUAGUAAAUGUUUAACAUGAAAAGUCAAAUCAGGUAUUUAGCCAAAUUACAAAUAACAAGUAUUUAUUUAU